GACGAACGCUGGCGGCGUGCUUAACACAUGCAAGUCGAGCGGUAAGGCCUUCGGGUACACGAGCGGCGAACGGGUGAGUAACACGUGGGUGAUCUGCCCUGCACUCUGGGAUAAGCUUGGGAAACUGGGUCUAAUACUGGAUAUGACCUCAUGCUGCAUGGUGUGGGGUGGAAAGCUUUAUUGGUGCAGGAUGGGCCCGCGGCCUAUCAGCGUGUUGGUGGGGUAAUGGCCUACCAAGGCGACGACGGGUAGCCGGCCUGAGAGGGCGACCGGCCACACUGGGACUGGGACACGGCCCAGACUCCUACGGGGGGCAGCAGUGGGGAAUAUUGCACAAUGGGCGGAAGCCUGAUGCAGCGACGCCGCGUGAGGGAUGACGGCCUUCGGGUUGUAAACCUCUUUCAGUAGGGACGAAGCGUGAGUGACGGUACCUACAGAAGAAGCACCGGCCAACUACGUGCCAGCAGCCGCGGUAACAC
rnacentral:rRNA from 1 species